CCCUUCCUUCCCAGCCAUUUCCCUCUGCAGGAUGGAGGGAGCCAGAGGCAGCUGCAGUGUGGGGAGAGUGGGAGAGGUGCGGGGAUGUGUCCUCUCUGAAGGGUGUGCCUGCGAAUUUUAGAAAAUGGAUUCUCUAGCAAUUAAUUAUUUAUAAGCGAAUGACCACACUCACAGGACAUCAGUCGAGGCUGUCAGCAAAACAGAAAGCUGACCCGUCAAAAGAAAAGGCUGCUCAGAAUUCUGGUUGACGUGUGUCUAAAAAGGAAAGGAAAGGAAUUCCUGCUUGCUUUUGUUUGACAGAUAAAGCUGCUCUAAGCAUGGAAGGGUGACUAAGAGGUAGUCAUGGCCACACCCAUGGGUCCCCACUGGUCUAGGUGACUUUCGACUCGCUUCUGGAAGCACAGUGCUAAGGCUGUGGUCACAGCUCUUUGUCUGCACUGGCAGAACGAGAGAGACGCAGACACAGCAAAUGACCCCCGAGCACAGGGCCCUGCGGACACUGGACAGGCAUGGACAAAUACUGCUAUCCUUGCCAACCCUCUCCUGGUGCUAGACUGCCCUCCUGUGGUCCCUCGACAGCACAGGCUCCCAUCUCAGACUCCAUGGGUGCCACAUCAUGGGCAAACUUCCGGGCAUGUCCACUGCCAUUUCUAAAACCCUCCAUGUCCUGUUCUCAAGGGGCCCAAGUACUGUAUCCAUCCAGGCCUCAGUGAGUGGGCAUGUGUCAAUAAGCCCAUAGGCUAAAGAGGGCCUUCUGCAGAAGCCGUGUCUUUCCCUGAAGAAGCAGCUCUGAUAGAAGCAAACAAAUGACAACAAACACAACAGACCCUCUCACUAGUAUGCAACUGCCAGCUUCAGAGUGGACGGCCCCGAUGAAAUGUGUCCUCCUCCAGCUGUGAGCCACCGCGCAAUGAUAGACCCUCCAUCAGUGCAUGAUGAACCUCGUGUCCUCCCACCCGCUCACCUGCGGUGCGGUAGCAAGGUGUGUGCUGUGGCAGCUGGACCGGAGGAGACGGCCGACACCUUCUGGGUGGCAUGUGGUAUCUCACUGUCUUCCAAAACUUGGUCUUCACACACUGUGACUGCUCCGUGAAGUCCCCAUGCCACCGGAUGGCACCGUGCUUCUGUUUGAUGUACUGAAUUGACUCCGGCAUGACUGUGUAGUCCUCGAUUUUCUCCAGCUCAAUGAGAAUAACCUUCAUCCCGUCCUGGAUCAGGGCAUUGUAGACCGCGAUUUGUUCUUCCGACAGGUUCUUCAACAGGCCAAAGCCCAGCGAUUCGGGGACCACAAUGACAAUCAGCCUCCUGCACAGCUUAACGUUUUCAUCGAUGACAUUGGCCACAGCUGGAAAUAAAGAAAGAAGGCUCAGAAGAACUCACAGUUAAAACAGCUCGGGUCUUAACGCUAGUGAGAAUAUUGGAAACAGGCCAGGAGAAAAUUGACUUUUUUUUUUAAAUGAAGUCUCGCUGUGUUGCCCAGGUUGGAGUGUAGGGAUGUAAUCUCAGCUCACUGCAACCUCCACCUCCCAGGUUCAAGCAAUUCUCCUGCCUCAGCCUCCUAAGUAGCUGGGAUUACAGACAUGUACCACCACGCCCAGCUAAUUUUUGCAUUUUUAGUAGAAAUGGAGUUUUACCACAAGCUGGUGUCGAACUCCUGACCUCAAGUGAUCCGCCCAUCUUGGCCUCGCAAUGUGCUGGGGUUACAGGUGUGAGCCACCGUGCCUGGCCAAAAAUGUACUUUAAAAUAAACAUGACUUAGUCAGGAAUGAAUUAAUACAAGUUUUGGGGUUUUUUUCUUUUUUUUUUUUUUAACAUUUGUCACCUCUUCUUGAAGGCUUUGUGGUUUUCCCUGAAGCCUUGGUCCUCUAUAGUCAUGAAUCAUGUUUUGCAUGUGGUUUCUUUGUAUGUCACUUUCCCUGGCCAACAAGUAUCUGAUGGUGCCUAACUCUGUAUCCCCAGACUAGCUGAAGGUCUGGUGUAUAUUAGCAGAUGAACACAUUCUUAAAAAUAGAUGUUAAAAGGAUAGGAAACAUGUAGUUAGCUGAAAUGUUGCAUUAAUCUUGAAUCUGUGUUUUCCUUUUGUUCUUUAUAGUUAUUUAAAUGACCAGGAUAUAUGUGACUAAUUUAGAAACCAAAUAACAUGCCCUGAUAAUUGCUUGGGAAAGGGAGGGUUCUCUAAAUACCCAGCUCUGCAGAUGCUAUUCAGUCUACAGUUGCCUCUCAUAAGAAAUAAGAAUAGACUGGAACCUCCCUGAGGACAGGCCCUUCUGCUUGGCUGAUUUUCGUAUUCCUAGUGCCUAGAAUACUGUCUAUCACAUAGAGGUUUUCAAUAAAUAUAUGUUGAAUAA